rnacentral:misc_RNA from 1 species
CGCACAUUGCGCCCCCUGGCAUUCCGGGGGGCAUGCCCGUUCGAGCGUCAUUAAAUCCAAUCAAGCCUGGCUUGGUAUUGGGCGCCGGGACACCCCCGCGCCCCAAUUUCACCGGCUGGCCGUCGCCCGUCUUAGCGUUUAUGACAUAGUUCCGCUAGCGAUGGGAGGGGGAUUACGCCGUUAAAACCCAUGAAUUUCAAUCGAAAUUCGAUUAGGUUGACCUCGGAUCGGGUAGGAAUACCCGCUGAACUUAA